rnacentral:rRNA from 1 species
AGAGUGAACGCUGGCGGUAGGCCUAACACAUGCAAGUCGAACGGCAGCACAGUAGGAGCUUGCUCUUACGGGUGGCGAGUGGCGGACGGGUGAGGAAUACAUCGGAAUCUACCUUUUGGUGGGGGAUAACGUAGGGAAACUUACGCUAAUACCGCAUACGCCCUUCGGGGGAAAGCCGGGGACCAGCAAUGGCCUGGCGCUGAUAGAUGAGCCGAUGUCGGAUUAGCUAGUUGGUGAGGUAAUGGCUCACCAAGGCGACGAUCCGUAGCUGGUCUGAGAGGAUGAUCAGCCACACUGGAACUGAGACACGGUCCAGACUCCUACGGGAGCAGCAGUGGGAAUAUGGACAAUGGGCGCAAGCCUGAAUCCAGCCAUACCGCGUGGUGAAGAAGGCCUUCGGUUAGUAAACGUGCUUUUGUACGGAACGAAACGGUUCCUGGUUAAAGUACCGUGGGACUAAGUGACGGUAACCGUAAGAAGUAAGCGAACCGGACUAACUACGU